rnacentral:rRNA from 1 species
GUCCCGCCUGCCCAGUGAUAUAUUUUAACGGCCGCGGUAUUCUAACCGUGCAAAGGUAGCGUAAUCACUUGUCUUCUAAAUAAAGACCAGUAUGAACGGCUAAAUGAGGACAAAUCUGUCUCCUGCGACAAAUCAGUGAAACUGAUCUCCCAGUACAAAAGCUGGAAUAAACACAUAAGACGAGAAGACCCUGUGGAGCUUAUAAAUAAGCGGUCAACAAAUCACAACCAAAACAAUAAUGAUCGUACAUUUUAAGUUGGGGCGACUUCGGAAAAAAACAAAACUUCCGAGAAAGAGGCCACCAAACCCAACCUAAGGUAUACAAACCUAAGGCA